rnacentral:lncRNA from 1 species
GACAAAUACAAAAAAUAGGGCACAAAUCAUCAUGACAGAGUAACCAAUACCCCACUUUUUUCAAAAGAAAAGAUUACUAGUGUGACAGGAUUGCAAAAUAAGUUCAUUCCUUAGGUAAAAUUGUGAAGAAGAGGAAGUCUGCAUGGCCAUUUGUGCAAAUAAGGCAUGUUGGGUAGUAAGUAGCAGAACACACACCUCAAAUUGGCUUCAAAUAGUGAUGGCAAGCAUUAUUUACAUCACAGAGGGGCAGACAAUGCAGUGGCUGAUCAGAGCUUUCCUGAUACCAUCAUGCUUUUUAGAGGCCUCUGCUCUGCCAGCCUGGGAGUCAUCUUCACCCUCAGGCUGGUAGACUCCAGUCUCUUAGGUCAGAAUGGGAUUAGAGACCCGUUCCUGAACCAGUCACACACAGCGGGUGAAACUGCUAUGAUUGGUUUAGACUUAGAGACUGGAAUGGAUGCUGAAAACAUCGCCCAUUUCAUCUGUUUCUUCAGUCCCCAGAUAGCAGAUGACUGGUAGGAAGAUGAGGCAAGUUUGCGGUCCAUUGUCAUGGAUAGUGGAGACAACACUGGGCCAGAAGUGGUAAGACCUGAAUCCAAGACUCAGCUCUGCCACUUGCUAAAUGGGACUUUGAAUAAACCAUUUCUCUGCACUUAAGUUCCUUACCAACAAAACGAGGGAAGUGGCCUACAUGCCUAGAUAUCAACAUUUCAUGUCACGUAGAGAUCUAGCAUCACAAGAAUCCAAGUCAUCCUCUGUUGCCUUUAAGAUUUCAGCAUGGUGAAGGAAAAGUAGCAGAAGACUGAAUGCAUACUCAGUUUUCAAGCUCUGGAUUUAAUCUUUCCAUAGCUGGAAUUGCCUCCUCCUCAAAAGCCUUAUUUGUUCAUUUAAUUGGGGCAACAUGAAAUAAUGAUGUAUCAUUGACAGAGAACAGGGGGCUUAGGUUCUCAUCUUGGUCCUAGUGAUUACUCUAUGCAUAACCUCAACUUCUUUAUCUGUACAUUGGGAACAAUAAUUCUUACUCCACUUGUUGUGUUGAAACUGAAUUAUAUAAUUCAUAAAUUAAAACACCAAAUUCUGAUAAAUGCUAAAUGCCA